GACUCCUACGGGAGGCAGCAGUGGGGAAUAUUGCACAAUGGGCGCAAGCCUGAUGCAGCCAUGCCGCGUGUGUGAAGAAGGCCUUCGGGUUGUAAAGCACUUUCAGUCGUGAGGAAGGUAGUGUAGUUAAUAGCUGCAUUAUUUGACGUUAGCGACAGAAGAAGCACCGGCUAACUCCGUGCCAGCAGCCGCGGUAAUACGGAGGGUGCGAGCGUUAAUCGGAAUUACUGGGCGUAAAGCGCAUGCAGGUGGUUUGUUAAGUCAGAUGUGAAAGCCCGGGGCUCAACCUCGGAAUUGCAUUUGAAACUGGCAGACUAGAGUACUGUAGAGGGGGGUAGAAUUUCAGGUGUAGCGGUGAAAUGCGUAGAGAUCUGAAGGAAUACCGGUGGCGAAGGCGGCCCCCUGGACAGAUACUGACACUCAGAUGCGAAAGCGUGGGGAGCAAACAGGAUUAGAUACCCUGGUAGUCCACGCCGUAAACGAUGUCUACUUGGAGGUUGUGGCCUUGAGCCGUGGCUUUCGGAGCUAACGCGUUAAGUAGACCGCCUGGGGAGUACGGUCGCAAGAUUAAAACUCAAAUGAAUUGACGGGGGCCCGCACAAGCGGUGGAGCAUGUGGUUUAAUUCGAUGCAACGCGAAGAACCUUACCUACUCUUGACAUCCAGAGAACUUUCCAGAGAUGGAUUGGUGCCUUCGGGAACUCUGAGACAGGUGCUGCAUGGCUGUCGUCAGCUCGUGUUGUGAAAUGUUGGGUUAAGUCCCGCAACGAGCGCAACCCUUAUCCUUGUUUGCCAGCGAGUAAUGUCGGGAACUCCAGGGAGACUGCCGGUGAUAAACCGGAGGAAGGUGGGGACGACGUCAAGUCAUCAUGGCCCUUACGAGUAGGGCUACACACGUGCUACAAUGGCGCAUACAGAGGGCAGCCAACUUGCGAGAGUGAGCGAAUCCCAAAAAGUGCGUCGUAGUCCGGAUCGGAGUCUGCAACUCGACUCCGUGAAGUCGGAAUCGCUAGUAA
rnacentral:rRNA from 1 species